rnacentral:rRNA from 1 species
UACGUAGGGGCCAAGCGUUGUCCGGAUUUAUUGGGCGUAAAGAGCGUGUAGGCGGCCUGACAGGUCUGCUGUGAAAACUCGAGGCUCAACCUCGAGAUGUCGGCGGAAACCGUCUGGCUAGAGUCCGGAAGAGGAGAGUGGAAUUCCUGGUGUAGCGGUGAAAUGCGCAGAUAUCAGGAAGAACACCUAUGGCGAAGGCAGCUCUCUGGGACGGUACUGACGCUGAGACGCGAAAGCGUGGGGAGCGAACAGG